AUUGAACGCUGGCGGCAGGCCUAACACAUGCAAGUCGAACGAGUGGCGGACGGGUGAGUAAUGUCUGGGAAACUGCCUGAUGGAGGGGGAUAACUACUGGAAACGGUAGCUAAUACCGCAUACCAUCGGAUGAGCCCAGAUGGGAUUAGCUUGUAGGAGUGGUAAAGGGUCACCUAGGCGACGAUCUCUAGCUGGUCUGAGAGGAUGACCAGCCAAACUGGGACUGAGACACGGCCCAGACUCCUACGGGAGGCAGCAGUGGGGAAUAUGGCACAAUGGGCGCAAGCCUGAUGCAGCCAUGCCGCGUGUAUGAAGAAGGCCUUCGGGUUGUAAAGUACUUUCAGCGGGGAGGCGUUACCCGCAGAAGAAGCACCGGCUAACUCCGUGCCAGCAGCCGCGGUAAUAC
rnacentral:rRNA from 1 species